rnacentral:lncRNA from 1 species
CAGAGACUCUCCAGAUAGUGCUGAAUGAGGGGGCCAGGGCCCCAGGGUGGCCCAGGGUCCUGUGGGGAGACUCCCUGACCCCAAGAGACUCCCAGUGUGUGGCGUUGUCUGCCCAGCCAGCCUCCCCUACUGCCCAGGUAUAGAGCUGGGCUCCAGCCCGGCCAGUAGGUGCGCUCUAGGGCCCCAGAGGCCACUGGGCCUUGUGCCUGCCCGGGCUCAGACCCUGUGGUUCAGCCAGGAGGAGCAGCCACCUGGGAGCCUUGGGCCCAGAAAUAGGUGGGACAGGCCAGGAUGGCAGGUGGACUUGAAAUUCCACGGCAAGCACGACCGGAAGGAAUACAUCGGGGGCGAUUACACGGUCCUUCUUCCUCCUACCCC